CUGGCGGCGUGCCUAAUACAUGCAAGUCGAACGGUCUUUCUAUGGAAGCUUGCUUCCACUGAGAAGAUAGUGGCGAACGGGUGAGUAACACGUGGGUAACCUGCCCAUAAGAGGGGGAUAACAUCCGGAAACGGGUGCUAAUACCGCAUAGUUUUCUUGAUCGCAUGAUUGAGAAAGGAAAGACGGCCUUUGUGCUGUCCGCUUAUGGAUGGACCCGCGGCGUAUUAGUUAGUUGGUGAGGUAACGGCUCACCAAGACGAUGAUACGUAGCCGACCUGAGAGGGUGAUCGGCCACAUUGGGACUGAGACACGGCCCAGACUCCUACGGGAGGCAGCAGUGGGGAAUAUUGCACAAUGGGGGAAACCCUGAUGCAAGCAACGCCGCGUGAGUGAUGACGGCCUUCGGGUUGUAAAGCUCUGUCUUCAGGGACGAUAAUGACGGUACCUGAGGAGGAAGCCACGGCUAACUACGUGCCAGCCGCAGC
rnacentral:rRNA from 1 species